AUUGAACGCUGGCGGCAGGCCUAACACAUGCAAGUCGAGCGGCAGCACGGGUACUUGUACCUGGUGGCGAGCGGCGGACGGGUGAGUAAUGCCUAGGAAUCUGCCUGGUAGUGGGGGAUAACGCUCGGAAACGGACGCUAAUACCGCAUACGUCCUACGGGAGAAAGCAGGGGACCUUCGGGCCUUGCGCUAUCAGAUGAGCCUAGGUCGGAUUAGCUAGUUGGUGAGGUAAUGGCUCACCAAGGCGACGAUCCGUAACUGGUCUGAGAGGAUGAUCAGUCACACUGGAACUGAGACACGGUCCAGACUCCUACGGGAGGCAGCAGUGGGGAAUAUUGGMCAAUGGGCGAAAGCCUGAUCCAGCCAUGCCGCGUGUGUGAAGAAGGUCUUCGGAUUGUAAAGCACUUUAAGUUGGGAGGAAGGGCAUUUACCUAAUACGUAAGUGUUUUGACGUUACCGACAGAAUAAGCACCGGCUAA
rnacentral:rRNA from 1 species